UCGAUCAGAGGAGAAGGAGGGAGGGGUGCAAACCCUAACCCUCAAGAAACCAUCAAAUUGGGAAGAAAUCUCGAGGAAGAUCGGAUGCAUGAACCUGAAAUGUUGACCAUUUAAGUGUCUCUAACACAAGGAAUCAUGUCGAGACGGAAUCAAGCAUUGAAGGCUAACGGGUCAAGAAGUGGCAAGGAAACAAAUAUGAACACGGAUGCAUGAGGUAGUACGAGUCACGAAGGAUCAUCAAAGAGUCGAGAUCGAAGACCGAGUCACAAAUGAGAUUGUACGGGAACGUUGAUGCCUAUAAUGUAGUAAACAUAAGC